rnacentral:rRNA from 1 species
CUUCGGGUUGUAAAGUACUUUUGUCAGGGAAGAAAAGGACGUGUUUAAUCCCCCUGUAUGAUGACGGUACCGGAAGAAUAAGCCCCGGCUAACUCCGUGCCAGCAGCCGCGGUAAUACGUAGGGGGCAAGCGUUAUUCGGAAUUACUGGGCGUAAAGCGGGCGCAGGCGGUUAUUUAAGCAGGAUGUGAAAUCCCCGGGCUCAACCUGGGAACUGCGUUCUAAACUGGGUGACUAGAGUGUGUCAGAGGGAGGUGGAAUUCCACGUGUAGCAGUGAAAUGCGUAGAGAUGUGGAGGAAUACCGAUGGCGAAGGCAGCCUCCUGGGAUAACACUGACGUUCAUGCCCGAAAGCGUGGGUAGCAAACAGGAUUAGAUACCCUGGUAGUCCACGCCCUAAACGAUGUCGAUUAGCUGUUGGGCAGCAUGACUGCUUAGUAGCGAAGCUAACGCGU